rfam:Triticum aestivum genome assembly, contig: Triticum_aestivum_CS42_TGACv1_scaffold_262780_3DL
CAGAUACUCCCUCCGUUCGGAAUUACUUGUCUCGGAAAUGGAUGUAUCUAGAACUAAAAUACGUCUAGAUACAUCCAUUUAUGCGACAAGUAAUUCCGAACGGAGGGAGUACAUU